rnacentral:lncRNA from 1 species
GCUGGCUUCACCCAGUGGAUACCGCACAGGGGCUACAGGUGGAGCUGCCUGCCAGUCGCGCCGUGCGCCGGCACUCCUCAGCCCUUGGGUGGUCGAUGGGACUGGGCGUGGUGGAGCAGGGGGCGGCGCUCGUCGGAGAGUCUCGGGUCUCAGGUCGCACAGGAGCCUACGGAGCGGGGGAAGGCUCAGGCAUGGCGGGCUGCAGGUCCUGAGCGCCGCCCCGCGGGAAGGCAGCUAAGGUCUGGCGAGAAAUUGAGCACAGCAGCUGCUGGCCCAGGUGCUAAGCCCCUCACUGCCCCGGGCCGGCGGCUCCAAGUGCGGGGCCCGCCCGAGCCCACGCCCACCAGGAACUCGCGCUGGCCCGCAAGCACCGCGCGCAGCCCCGGUUCCCGCCCGCGCCUCUCCCUCCACACCUCCCCACAAGCUGAGGGAGCCGGCUCCGGCCUUGGCCAGCCCAGAAAGGGGCUCCCACAGUGCAGCGGUGGGCUGAAGGGCUCCUCAAGUGCCGCCAAAGUGGGAGCCAAGGCAGAGGAGGCGCUGAGAGUGAGCAAGGGCUGUGAGGACUGCCAGCACGCUGUCACCUCUCAGUAACAGUAAGAAGAGAGAGGAGGACAUCUAAUUCUGGAAGAAAUGUGCCCAUUCGGAAACUACCUUGACCGAUAAGAGCAGAAAGCCCCGGAAGAAUAUUCACCGGACUUCUCUGGGGGAAGGAUUACAGAAACACCUCCAGGAGGAUUAUUUCCAAUCCCCAGCUUCAACCGCCUGUCCUGCCACCCUCGUCACCCACCUGCCAGUUUGCUGCCCCACUUCCUGGAAGGCCAGCUCUGUGCAAAUCUGGUGAGCCGACUCCAGUGGCUCAGCUCAGCUGUGAUUCCCCCGGAACCCAGCACACCUCCAGGGAGACCGUGAGAGAGGCCAUCUGAGGAUAGCGC